AAUGAACGCUGGCGGCAGGCCUAACACAUGCAAGUCGAACGAAGGCUUCGUCCUUAGUGGCGCAUGGGUGCGGAACGUGGGGGAAUGUGCCGGUUUCCAUCGAAUAAUACUUAGAAAUGGCUGCUAAUACCGGGAAAUUUCCCAUAACCAAAGAUCCAACGGCAGAGGGUGAGCGGGCGUAGGUUUGGCUUGUUGCGAGGGUAAGGGCCUACCAAGGCGUCGAUCGUUAGCUGGGCUGAGAGGAUGAUCAGCGACACUGAGGCGGAGACACGGCCCGGAAUCCUAGGGGAUGCAGGAGUGGGGAAUAUUGGAAAAUGGGCGGAAGCAUGAAGCCGCAAGGCCGGGUGAGUGAUGAAGGCCUUAGGGUUGUAAAGCUCUUUUAUCCGGGAUGAUAAUGACGGUACCGGGAGAAUAAGCACCGGCUAACUUCGUG
rnacentral:rRNA from 1 species